GAUGCAGGUGCGGUUCCAACGAUAGAAUGGACCCGUCCAGUGAAAGGUU
rnacentral:sRNA from 1 species